CACUGCAAUAGACAGUCAGAAUUCAUACCACCUCCACGCUGUACAGGGGGCUAGUUUAAUGGGCACCCCUUUACAGCCUGUGUAAUGGGGGAGCACAGAAGGAUUACAGGAACCAUAGAGGAAGGGAAUUGACUUUUGAUAAUCUAAGUGCAAGAGUUGUCUAUUGUUCGCGCGUCUAUAGGUCAACUUCUACUCCUGUCUAGAGAAGAUAUAUGCAGCACCAAUGGCCGCUCCUGUGAAGCAGGUUCCAGUGAUGCAGGCUUCUCUGGUGCAGACUCCAGUGAUGCAGGCUCCUGUGAAGCAGGUUCCAGUGAUGCAGGCUUCUCUGGUGCAGACUCCAGUGAUGCAGGCUCCGUGAAGCAGGUUCCAGUGAUGCAGGCUUCUCUGGUGCAGACUCCAGUGAUGCAGGCUCCUGUGAAGCAGGUUCCAGUGAUGCAGGCUUCUCUGGUGCAGACUCCAGUGAUGCAGGCUCCUGUUGUAGCCUCCCCUUUUGUGGUAGAUGGGACCGUCAGCUGCCCGGCCUGCAGGAUAGGCUCCCUAAAUUAUGUGUUCACCACGGCUGGGCUCAUAUUUAGCAUAGUGUUCUUCCCGCUGGGUAUAGCCUUGUGUGUUCUGUUAAUGGAGAAACGAUGUGAUCGGUGUGGCCUCACCUUCUCUUAGUGCAAGAACACGUAGCAGGAAGAGGAGGAGGAGGAAGAAGGAGGAUGACUUUAGACUCCUUACAUGGUGCCAACACAAUGCCAACUUGAUGACAAUGUGAUAACAUACUUCCACCCCUCCUUCCUCUCUCUCAUCACUCUCUCCCCUAUCCCUCUCACCUCUCCCUCAUCCCUCUCACCUCUCCC